rnacentral:antisense_RNA from 1 species
CUCUUCCCUUCUGUGGGACGUGUUUUGAGAACUUGUGUGUUGACUGCACCAUGCAGAGCAUAUAGCAUGGAGGCACCCCUACUGCCAUUGGGGGGCAGGUGGAGGGGGGACCGUCCUGCAGCUCCUCCCUGGGGCUACCCCUCUCUUCCCUCUGCACAGACCUGGCAGCCACCCAGACGUCCCGCCUGCUGCCUAGACUCUAAGAAGAUGCCCUAUCACUCCAAUUACCAUACACAGUACUGGCGGGGGAGAGGUCCUGCCUUGCCGCUGAAAACUGCACUGCUUCCUCCCUCCAGGGAUGAAAGGCCAAGAGAACGAGGGCAGUGUGGAGACUACGCUCUCGCCAGGGACCUGCAGCCUCUCACUUCCCAGCACACCGACUCCAGCUAACAGGACCGGGCUUCCUUACCUGCCGCCUUCCGCUGCCUCCCCGCAGACACAGCUUCAGCGACGCCCAGGCUGAGAUGGCAGAAGAGGUUCCCGCCGGCCGCGGCCUGCCCUCAGGCAGUGGCUCCCAGAGCUCACCGGUUCCCCGCACUCUUCUGCGCCCGACUCCCCAUGCCCCUACGUCCUGCGUCCCCUUCAGCCCCGGAGGUACCGUGGGGCCCGGGCCUGCCAGUCACCACCUCCUCCUCCGCCGGCGCCUCCGGGUCCUGAGCCCCUCGCCGGGUCCCUCUCCCUCCUGGGGCUCCUUCCCGUUCAGCCUCCGGGGCCCUACCCCGCUCUCCCCCACUCCCCCAGGCCCGGCCUGCGCCUUCCUGCGGUGCCGAGGAGCGGUGGCGCCCUGGGUGAAGAAGUCCCGCCGAGUCGAGGGGCGCAAUGGAGGAGCGCCGGAACAGGUCUCUCAUUCCGAGUAGCUACCGUUGCACUGUGCGAGUGUAAAAGUCACUUCCACCCGGUCUCAGUUGUUCCAACCUCAGUUGAAGUGAGGAGGUUGGACUGGAAGGUUUCUGGGGUCACUCCAGUGAGGCUGGGGUUCUAGUCCUCAUCUCACCGUGGCACCCCAAAGGCCCAGAAACCCGGACCAUCACCUCUCUUUCCCCGGGGCCAACGGAGCACUCCUGAAGGAGGGAGGGUUUGUCUCAGGCCUGACAGUUCCUGAUGAGGACUUGGGCAGAAACAGCCCCAGGCAAGCGGACCUUCAUUCCUGCACUUGAGCCGUCUCCUCCCUGCCCCCACCCCCCACCCCCCGCCCCCCAGAAGGAGAAAACCCAGCGCUCUGAUUCCCAGCGGCGGGGCAGCCUGCAGGCCCUGUUCCCAGCCCACAGACCCAUGUCCCAGCCCAAACGGAGGCAGCCCUGGGCAGCGGGCGCUUGGAGCCCAAGGGCUCAGGGCCACUCAGCCCUUGUUACUGUCCCUCAUCUAGAAAAUGGAUGUAAUAACAAAACAGUUCACGGUAGAUGGCAAGAUCAGACACAUCGGGAACUGUGUAGGGCUGGCUCUUUCUGCGCUCACACUGUCCAGCAAUGGGCCCCAGGGACUUGGCCAGAGCGCAGUAGGGCAAUGAGAAAGGGGUGGCUUCCGGAAACCUACACGAGGCCCAGUCUGGGUGGAUUUGGGUGGCGGUCCCUUGCCUGCGAGGUGGGCAGGGCAACUUUCUACUAAAUUAUCUAACACUGCCAGUAAUGGCAGCCCUUGCCCAGGGAGCCAGGAGGCUGGGCCAGGACCACCCCCCUGUCGCCUGGCUUCAGGAAAGAAAGUGGGGAAGACAACAGAUUUGGGAGAAGGAAACUGAGGAGGUUUUCUCCCAGUCUCCCUCACGCUGCCUCAGUCAUGGCCAUUGCUAAGACUCACAGAGCCCAACUGUGCAAGGCCCUGCACUUCGCAUUCUUCUCAUCCAACCCCACGACAACCCAAGGAGACACAUAAUAUCCCCAUUUUACACGUGGCAGAACUGAGGUUCUACAUGGCCAAGUGACUUGUUCAGUGCCAGACAGCUGGUAGUAGUGAAGCCAGGAUUCAAAUCCAGCUUUCCGACUCUAAAGUCUAAGGCGCAGACCGAGUGUGGUGACUCAUGCCUGUGAUCACAGCACUUUGGAGGCUGAGGAGGGCAAAUCAUUUGAGCUCCCAAGUUCAGGACCAGCCUGGGCAACACGGCAAAACCCUGUCUCU